AUUGAACGCUGGCGGCAGGCCUAACACAUGCAAGUCGAGCGAGCGGCGGCAGGGAGAAUAAUGUAUGGGGACUGCCCGAUAGAGGGGGAUAACACAUGGAAAGGGGGGCUAAUACCACAUACUAUCGGAUAACCCAUAUGGGUUUGGCGAGUAGGUGGGGUAAAGGCUCAACGAGGCGACGAUCUCGAGCUGGUCUGAGAGGAGAAACAGACACACUGGGACUGAGACACGGCCCAGACGCCUACGGAUGCAGCAGUGGGGAAUAUUGCACAAUGGGCGCAAGCCUGAUGCAGCCAUGCCGCGGGUAUGAAGAAGGCCUUAGGGGUGUAAAGUACUUUCAGCCGGGAGGCGUUACCCGCAGAAGAAGCACCGGCUAACUCCGUGCCAGCAGCCGCGGUAAUAC
rnacentral:rRNA from 1 species